GUUUUAAUAACGGCAAUAAUUGGUUUUAUAACGAAGUUAUGUUUCCUAACAGAUUCUACAUUCAUAUCGAAGUGUUACUAUAUAAUAUAUUAAAUAUAUUAUGUGUAUAAAAACUGAUCCUGUGCACUUCGUUGCCCGUUAAAAAUGCCAUCUCUACAUAAGAGACCCGAUUGUGAUAAUGCGAGCAGUAUAUUAUCAGGUAUUAGGUGGAUGCGAACGGAGCAGGAAAUUGCAAGCACUCGCGCCGGUGGCGUUUACGUAAAAAUAUAAUCAUACGUUUAGACACGGGAUUUAUAUGCAAAUAUGCAAUUAUAGGAAGGUACCUCUGUCCUCUAUGGUUAUAUGUACCUACUAAAUAUACCUUGUAUAUACCUACUAAUAAUUAAAAAGAAUAUGUUUUAAAAGUUAAAUCAUUUAAAAAUGCAUUGAAAUAUUAUCUUAAUGUGCAUGCAUGAAAACUGGAAUGUCUGUAGUCUUAUACUCUAUACCUACCAACACAAUCACUGGUCUUAAAUGUAAUUAAGAAAUUGAUUUUUUUAUCACUUUAAAGGUAGGUACUUACUGAAAAAUGAAAUGUUUACUACUACCGAUUAUAAUAUUAUGCUGUACAACCUUAAUGGUUAAAGCUACCAAA